ensembl:lncRNA
UUUUGGUUUGGUUUGGUUUUGGUUUUUAAAAACAACGUACAGUCAAAGUGGCAAGCUAUGGACUGGAUAAGGGACUGCAACAGGUGGAAAUUGUACUGCUGAUCUCCAUCCAACCAUCGUGCUAAAGUUGAACUGCCAGCUACUUUCUAAUGGCAUCCUUUAGGGAAUCAGUUCUGGGGCCACUACCGUUUAAUGUCUUUACUAACAGUCUGCAGGACAACACAGAGCAUACUCUCUUGUGUUUGUGAUUGAGGACCACGCCAAGUCUGGGGCUGGUUAUAAUGUAUAUUUGUCAACUUCCCUUCUGGGGAAAGAGGAGAGAAGUUGAUAAAAUGGAAGGCACGACUGCUUUUCAAAGGGUUUUAAGGAUGCUGGAGGCAUGAGCUGCCAUGUGCUUCAUGAAGUACAAAUAAGGCAAAGCAAAGUUCUGCAUCUGAUAUCAACUCAUCCCGUGCAGUUAGUGAGCUUCAAACAUCUUUGAAAUAAAAAAAUCCAGCAGGGUGGAGAAGGGUGAAGGGGAAUGUUGCAUGUAUAGCAGCAGUGUACCCCUGAAGGAAAGAAAGCCAGCAGCACAGUGAGCUCAUUUACAAAGGCACAGCUGCAAGUCAGGGGAGUUUAUUAGUCCCCUCGAAUCAGCACUUAUGAGACCACAUCCGGAGAACUGCAUCCAGGUUUGGAGUCCCCAGUGAUAGAAAGACUCUGUCAUAUAGGCAUGAGUCUGGCAGAGGGCUGGACAGAACAUGUGAGGAGAGUCUGAGGGAGCUGGGCUUGUUCAGCCUUAAAAACAUACUGGAGCUUGCAACUACCUGAUCAUGAGGCACACAGAAGGAGCCAGGCUACGGAGCUACGCAAGGGCAGCAUCUGAUUAGACAUAAAGAAAAUUAUUUUCCCUACCAUGGGGGUAGUCAAACACUGGAACAAGAGUCCAGAGAGUUUUUGGUUCCUCAGCCUUAGAAUUAUUCCUGAAGGCUGCUUUCCAAGUGCUGCCACAAGCACUCACUGAGUAUGCCUUGUUUCUUUAGGAAAUGAUAGCAUGGUGUACAUCAAGGCCCAGACCUUGAAGAUGCAGAAGGAGGCAAGGAGAGAGGAGGCCAAGACUGAUGAGAUCUAAUGCUGACACUCUGAGUUAUUCACAGAUGUGGUGAAUACUCUGCCCAAGAAUUUGGGAUUAAAUUUCAUGGUAAGAAUGAUGACCAGUUUUCUCCAAGUGAAAACUAAGACUGCACUCCCAAGUUUUCCCAACCUGUGCUUAUGAAAGCUAUCGAGACGGAUCAAAAUAGAUCAAGGACUGCUGAACCAAAUCAGCGGCACAAUUUGGCUGCACUUUAGCAAGAUUCAGACACUGGGAGUCAGCCUGAGCCAGCACUCUUAGUUUAUGACUUUCAAAAGCUCGUUUCCCAUGGCUAUAGUUGAAUUCCAUCAACAGACGUAAACUGCCAUAUUGUUGUGAUAUGCUAUUCGUGAUCACAGAAGUGUCCAGCUUUGCUGGGGUACCUAGCAUUGCUGACACCAGGGCGCCAAGACUGAUGGAGAGCAGGUCCUGAUCCAGGUGCACUCAGCUUUCAGACAGGCAGACGCUACCGGAGAUGGGCUGUGGAACAGGG